rnacentral:rRNA from 1 species
CCUACGGGUGACAGCAGUCGAGAAUCUUUCACAAUGGGGGAAACCCUGAUGGUGCGACGCCGCGUGGGGGAAUGAAGGCCUUCGGAUUGUAAACCCCUGUCAUGUGGGAGCAAAUUAAAAAGAUAGUACCACAACAGGAAGAGACUGCUAACUCUGUGCCAGCAGCCGCGGUAUUAAAGAGGUCUCAAGCUUUGUUCGGAAUCACUGGGCGUAAAGGGUGCGUAGGCUGUUUCGUAAGUCGUGUGCGAAAGGCGCGGGCUCAACCCGCGGACGGCACAUGAUACUGCGAGACUAGAGUAAUGGAGGGGGAACCGGAAUUCUAGGUGUAGCAGUGAAAUGCGUAGAUAUCGGGAGGAACACUCGUGGCGAAGGCGGGUUCCUGGACAUUAACUGACGCUGAGGCACGAAGGCCAGGGGAGCGAAAGGGAUUAGAUACCCGAGUAGUC